rnacentral:misc_RNA from 1 species
AGGGGCGGCCGAGGGAGG